GCAGAGUGGCCACUGCGCUCAGAAGUUUACAAGGAAAGGGGAAAUGUCUGAAAUGGAGAUUGCACAAUCCUGUCUUGAAGCAGAAGACUCAGCUAGAGCACAUCUGGAAACACCUGGCACUCCUCAAUAGAAUUCAAAUGCUAUUUUAAAAGGUAGUAUGGUCCUUUCUACUUCCCGUUGAUCUGGGUCAAGGAUUUGGGCAGUGCAGCCAAUGCAUUGAUGGGGAGGAGCCCAGGAUGUGGCUAGUGCUGCGGCUGUGUUGGUAACCUUAAUGGGACGGAGCAAAUCAGGGAGUACACUGAAGAUAAUGACAGGCACCAUUCUUGCAACAUUUAUGUAAAGUUUUACACUAUUUCAAAAUGAAAAGUAAAAUAAAAUUUUUAAAAAGCUGACAUGGUUUAGGAUAACAAUUUUACCAGAAGAAUAUCUUAUGUUGCAUUUAGCCCAUGUAGAACAUUAUACAUAUAUAUAAUGUUAUAUAUUUCUUUAUGUUUUCUGGUGUGUACAUACAUUUAUCGAUAUAUUCUUAUUGAUCUAGUUUCUCUAAGAUUCUGACAUAUUUCAGAACAAAGGAAGAAAUCUUACCAGUCAGUUCAGUAAGAUAUUUGGAAAGGGAGACUUGAAUAUGUGAAAAAUUUAUUUUGAUCUAUAGAAGAUGUUAAUAUUAUUUUCCUUAGUUUUUGUCUUUCUGAUUACAGGCUUAACGCAACCUUGUAUUUCUCUUUUAAGUGAUCAGGAGCAGAAUUUGCAAACUUUUUAGAAUAUGUAUUUUAGUUCAAAUUCCCCCCACCCAAAAUUAAUUUCAUCUACGUAUGCAGAAAGUAUAAUUUAUAGUAAAGUGCUAAAUCUAACCUGAUUUCUCUCCUUAAAAUUAGGUUUAAAAUAAAUUAAGCAGUACCUAAUGUGUUUCCUAACAAGGCUCAGGGUACACAAUGUUCUUUGGUUGGCCACAAAACACAAGGUCCUUGAGCUGAGAUGACAGAUUCUUCAAACAGACAUAUCCUGUACAAGGUGCCUUAAAAGUGAAGGCAUUGCUGCCAUUGGCUUGCAGGCUUUAUAUUGAAAAGGAGAAUUCUGAAGGAAGGAUGUUUGUUUUCUUCUUUUUUAAAAAAUAAAAUGAUUUAUAAAAACCGCACGUUUUUCUUUUUUGCUAGAUGUAAAAUCUGAGCUGCAACACUGAACAAAAGCUGUACUUGCCAGCCAGCAAAGAUGCUACCACUCUGCACAACAGAUAAAACCCAUACAUAUAGGGAAGUCAAAAGAGUCUUUAAGCUACAGUGUUUGAGAGGCUGUUUGUCUCUGAUGGAAAAUUAAGAAAAUGGUAAGAGCAGCGUUAGCAUGAGGUGUUCAUUCCAAAUUUGUCACUGCAGUGUGUGUGGCAUUGUGUGCAAAAACAACUCUUCAAGCAAAAACACCUCCAGCAAACUUCCUCCUUCACUUCAAACCUCAUCUUCAAUUACAAUGUGGUUCCUACAAAGUAAAGGGCUGUUGUCCUCUCUUCAGACCUGUGCUGCUUCUGCGCACUAGCCCUGUAGACCAUCAAGGCCUAAAAAUAGCUGCUAGAUUCAAUGAGACAUGAAGCUGACAGAAAUGGCAUCAAGCUAAUUGGCAACAAACUCUAUGAAACCUACUCAGGAAAUCAUAUUUUUAAGCUGAACACCAAGUGGAUUCUUGUUUGAAUGUGAGGCUAACUUAUUUUUAUAUUUAUAUUUCAAAUAAAACAAAGGGGAAUUGUUAAAGAAGAACCUUUUUAUUUCCCUUAUUAUAUAUUUAUUUAAUCCUUUUAAAAGUUUUGUUAACAAAAUCUUUGGAUUCAGUGAUAUUUAUUUGAAAAGAUUGUUAUCCACACAUUAUGAUUAAGAAAGUGGGGCUUAAAGAGGUGCAAUGACAUGUCCUUAGUCAAAACAUAGACAACUUGAUUCUAAUCUAUCAGGAAAGACGACGAUAUUUAUAAGUAACCAGAACACAAAGUGCUAAGUUCAAUACUCAUAUUUUGAAUAACACAAGAAGUAAAAUCCUUUAUUUAAAGAAUCAAAGGGUUAUCAGAAGAGAAGUUAUUGGUGGAUGAUCACAGAGCUAAUAGCCAUAAUUAUACAUGACCUGCUGGAAGAUGGAAAAAACAUAACACAAAUCUUACCAUUUCCUCUGGUAGUUGAUUCAUAAGAAAACUCUUAGGUCUUGAUUGUUUACUUGAGAGUGUUGCUAUUGUUACUCAACUUAUUUAAAAAAAAAAUGGAAAAGUUAGUUUUGGUGGCUGUUGUUGUCUGGAAGAAAUAGACUAUAUUCAAAAUAAAAAUUGCCUGAAUAAGUCAACAUGAUUGCAUAAUUUUUCAAAUGUUGAUUCCUAAUACAC
ensembl:lncRNA ZFHX4-AS1 ZFHX4 antisense RNA 1